CAUUCACAAAUCACAGCUAUGGACAGCCUCUCCUGCAUCCAGAUGUUGAACAGGGGUGGUUCAGUCUAGGUUGUGCUAAAUAAAUAGGGAGAGCCUGACCACCAUACUACAUAAAGCGGGGGUGCUCUGACCUCAGGCAGAAGAGACUUUUUAUGAGCACGUUGGACGUGUGAAUGGGCUGCCAACAGAUGAAGUAAAAAUACUUCCAUCACUCUCCCUACCACCUCCAAGAAGCAGAUGAAAAUACUUGCAGGCCAGGGCUGAAAUCUACACAAGUGUGCUUCUACUUAAAGAAAUGAAAGUUAAUUGUAAAACAGCCACAGGCCGGUCCUUCAGGAAUUAUUCCUGAAGAAGGCACUGUUAUCAUAGGAGAUGACAGCUCCAUGCAUGUUAUUGGCCCCGAAGACCUUCCAGUGAGACAGCAUGUGGAGGUGGAAGACAGUGACGCUGAUGAUCCUGACUCUACGUAGGCUCAGGCUAAUAGGUGUAUUUGUGUCUUCGUUUUUGAUACAAAAAUGUAAGAUAUAAAAAUAUUUUAAAUAGAAA